CGAAUUCGCCCUUCGGGGUGCACCAGGCGCGAAAACUUUACAAUGCUGGCAACAGCGAUAAGGGGACCUCGAGUGCCAGGUUACAAAUCUGGCUGUCGUGAUGCCUAAAAAGCAUUGCAUAGCAAGGGCCGGGCAAGACCGGUGCCAGCCGCCGCGGUAACACCGGCGGCUCGAGUGGUAACCGUUAUUAUUGGGUCUAAAGGGUCUGUAGCCGGCCGGAUAAGUCUCUUGGGAAAUCUGGCAGCUUAACUGUCAGGCUUUCAGGAGAUACUGUCUGGCUCGAGGCCGGGAGAGGUGAGAGGUACUUCAGGGGUAGGGGUGAAAUCUUGUAAUCCUUGAAGGACCACCAGUGGCGAAGGCGUCUCACCAGAACGGACCUGACGGCAAGGGACGAAAGCUAGGGGCACGAACCGGAUUAGAUACCCGGGUAGUCCUAGCCGUAAACGAUACUCGCUAGGUGUCGGCCACGGUGCGACCGUUGUCGGUGCCGUAGGGAAGCCGUGAAGCGAGCCACCUGGGAAGUACGGCCGCAAGGCUGAAACUUAAAGGAAUUGGCGGGGGAGCAC
rnacentral:rRNA from 1 species